UGGGAUGUAGCUCAGUGGCAAAGCGUCUGCCUUGCAUUCACAAAGCCUGGGUUCAACCCCCAGUUCCAA
rnacentral:tRNA from 1 species